UCUUCGCUUUUUCCUCUAGAUCUCCCUUCUCUCUACAAACCCUAAAGCAUCGCCACCUCCCUUCUCUCUAGGAUGUGCUAGGGUUUUAUUUUAUUCUAAGCUUCCUCUUCUCUCGUUUUCUCUCAACCCAGUAUGUGCGAGGGUGUUUGGUGGUGAAAUAAUUCAGACCUUGCUCCCUUACCAUUUCUUCGCUUCUCUUCAUAAUCAAAUGGUUUUGUGCUUAUAGGGCAAGAAUGACCAUAUUGCCCUGCAUAAUGUGUAGAAGGAUGGAAAAAAGAAGCGAAGGUUAACAUCGAUAUCUCAAAUAAUCGCUUCUCAUCAGAUUGCCCUACCAAAAAUUCAACGCCAAAAAAGGAAGUGACUCACUGUUCUCUUUUCGAUUGGUAUUUCUAAUGAUUAAUAUCGGUCAAGAUUUCUUCCAGUCGCCAUCAGCCCAUCACGGAAACCAAACUGGCUCAACCGCUGAAAGCCUGGAAUUUGCUAAAAAUCGAUUACUCAAAUGUGUGAUUGACUGAAAGUAUAAAACUCGUUGAAACUCGAAUGCCUGAUCUCCAUAUGAGAUUUCAUAUUUAUGGAAUCCAACUUCUUGAGUCCUGAAUUUGAUUUAUGUUGACCCUCCUUACAGAUCUGAGGAUUGGUUCGAAGAUGAACUUUGGGCAUUUCAAGGUGGAAAAGAUGGCGUUUUGCCAUGUGUAUGGGAGAAUGAGCUCCCUAGUUUCCCUCAGCCAGAGACUAUUAGCAAGAUGUUGGUGAACCAAAUGCUCCUUUGCUUUGGAGUCAUGUUUGUUACUCAGGAUAGUAGUGGGAUGUUAUCACUUCUUGGCAUACUUGAGCAGUCUCUUAAAAUUGGAAGGAGACAUGUUUUACAUUCAACCAGUGUCACAAAUGUAUGCGUGGGAUUACUUUAUGGAUUAAAGGCCAUGCUUACAUAUGACUCCCAACCACUAGAAACAGAGAUAUUAAUUGCAACCCAGGGGAUCUUUCAGAUUAUUUUUUUAUGGUGUAAAUGUAAUUUUACAUUUUACUUGCUUACGUUUGUGUCGAGAUGCGUGGUUAGGUCCUUGGAUUACUGGAAGGGAUGAGCAUAGGCGGGUACCCACCUUAAUUGUCUGGAACCGGAACCAGAACCGGAGCCGGCGGUUCAUGGAAUGUAGGAACUGGAACCGGAACUGGCUCCGAUACCCGGUUCAAUUUAGAGGAAGGAUUCUUUAAAGGGGAUGGGUAGUCUAAAGAAUUUUAGGCUGGUGUUCUACAUCAUCUUCCUUUUGUUCUACCUUUUACAGCUCCAAUCCGAAACAUGUAAUAAUUUCUAUUUUUUUUUAACUAUUGUUGAUAAUAUGAAGAGUGUGUAAGAACAUUAGGGCUACUACAAGAAAUGCCAACAAACAUUCAUUGAUUUGUUUUUGUUAAUUGUUAUAGCAUUCUACCUGUUUUUAUUCCCAUUACUGAAUUGUAAAUUGUAUUUCUUCUUGAAUCGAUGGUCUUCACACACAUCUCUUCCCCCCUGAUCCUAUUGGAAACUGGACAAGGAUCAUAAGACUUGAUUGGCAAGGAAGAUCGAUGGAGGGACCUACUCCUUCUACAAGAUCUUUGUUGACAAACUUACAAGAAUUCUGAUUCCAUUUUCUGUCAAAAAAUUUAACUAAUUUUUCAUCCACCAAUGAAACUUACUUUAAUUUUGCAUUUUGGUUUUCAGGAGGAUAACUGAUUUGACUGGACCAAGUACAACCUUUCCCAAUCUGCAAAACCAGACACGGGUGGCAUUUGAGAAAUUGCUUGCUUAAAAGUUCAAUACCUUAGUACACAGUACAGAUGAGUGGAAUGAAAAAACUGUUAAAAAACAAAUAUUAAGUCUAUCAAGUCAAAAAGAAGCAUGCACUUAAUCAUGGAAGUUAUAUGUAGAUAUUUCUUUCAGGCUGCUGCCAAGAUUAUGAUGAAAAAGAAAAAGGGGACAACUAUGGCUUCAUUGAUGCAUAUGCAGAAAAUUCUAUCAAAUAGAGUGCAACAUUUUCCAACUCUUAAGAAAGCUGUAAAAUCAGCUUUUUGACUUCACUUAUUUCAUAUAUAUGCCCUUUAAGAAACAUCGAUUCUGCUCAAAUAUCAAUUCCCAGGACUGUAAAGUACGAUGACUCACAGCAGUGCUAUCGACACAGAGCACGAUUGGAGGAAACAAAGCAAUAUUGAAGAGGAUGGAGGUGACGCCUGGAUUUGGGAAUCGAUUUCAAGCUACUCCAAAGACUAGCACCACCAUCCAGAUUCACAAAGUUUAUGGAAGCUCUUAUCGUUUGCCUUCUGCUCAUACAUGGCACUGCCAAAUCCUUCAUGAACUGUGAAAAAUAUGGAGAUUCUAAGAAGCUCUGCUUCAACUUUUUCCAAUGUUUUGGCUUUUGUAGCUGCAUAGUUUCCAAUGUUUUGGCUUUUGUUUGGCAGCUUGGAAAAACUUGUAGCACCUGAUCGUCCAUGCCACUCUUGUUACAGGACAUGAGUAUGGACACAUCAUGGAACAUUUUAGGGUAGUUGUUGGUCUUCCUCUUGGUGAUCCAUCAAUUAAGUGGCCAACUUGCAUCAUGUAAUAACAUUUUAGGCAAAUAUGUAGGUAUAUGUUUUUUUUAAUGAAUAAUGUAAUCAUAUGUAUGAAUAUGAAAUAAAGUUUGUUAUUUAGUAAGUGAUAAUCAUGUAUAGGGAGAAAACAACUUCUAUUGAUUUGUUUUAUCUUUCCAUGGAUCGACUAUUUGUAUGACAUUA